GGGGGCGAAGGGCUUUCGACGAGGAGAGUGAAGCACUAACUUGCGUGCCGUCGUGUCUGGACGACGUAAAUGCCAGGCCGUUAUUAAUUGCCAACGACAACGCAAUCGCUCUCGCGGCCUAAUUAGCUAACAGAGCCGUCCAACCCCGAGGAGCCUCAGUACGGGAAGGGCGCAACUACCGAGGAUAGGUGGAGCGAGCACGCUCGCGAUAGCUUCACCGAGAUCAGAGCGAGAUAGGCGACGGCCGAAUCCGUCGACCCGGUCCCGAGGGUAUUCGAGACUACGCACGUGAAUGAGGGUUAGGUGGAGCCUUUUCGGACCCGGGUUCGAUUCCCGGCGCCUCCACUA
rnacentral:tmRNA from 1 species